ensembl:lncRNA
GUUUAUCAGAAACUCGUUCAGCAACAUACAGUUCCUUCGCUAUAAGCAUCUCCCAAUCAGCCAGCAAUUAUCAAGUAAGACAAUACACCUGUAACACUGCAGAAUGGGUAAAGCAGUUCCUUGAAGCUGAAAACACUGAAAUAAUUAAAUGAUCGGGCCAGUGUCCUGAUCUAAACACAACUGAAAUUCUCUGGAAAAUCAUUUGCGACAAAGUUAUGGUUAAGAAACCUACUACAGUCGCUGAACUGUGGAAGAAAGUAGAAGAGUGGACCAAGAUCACACUAGAGCUGUGUGAGAAACUCUGUCUGUUGCAAAUGUGCUUAAGUCAUUCAAAGCAAGGUAUACUUGACCGAUGAAAAUUAACAAUAUUUCAGAAACAAAUCAAUUAUUUAUAGAUUGUUCUCUUAUUUCAUCUCCACUGUAUUUGAGAUGGUGAAGUUGAAGCUGAAGGGAUGUGAUUGUUCUGAAGGCUCGCAGUAGAUUUAUCCAGUGUUACAGCAGGGUACUGUAAGCCCACUGUUACUGCCUGGGAGUCCCUGGUACAGCACGGAACAUCUCUUGUUAAGGCCUCCAGGCUCUCUCACUCUCACACACACCAACACAGCAAAAAUGUGCCAAUGUGUGCUCGAGAAUGCCACAGGCUGGUGUCCUUCCCUCAGUCUCUUAUUCCUAACUCUUUCCAACCAGCCCCAAGAUGUUCUUCAAGAGCGAGUCUCGUUUUUCUUCAGCAACAGCAGCUGGAAACAGUGCCGCCUGACACAUUGCCAGCUCUCACCGACUGGUUCCUCUGCUUCCCUCUGACAGGAGCGAAGGCUACGGCCCAAUGCUUACUCAGAAACAGAGACCCUGAGGUACCAGACAUAGUUAGAUGGAAAGGAUAUAGGGAUUCCAGACGUGUCUCAAGAUCAGGAGACACUACAGUAUGGACCUAAGUGGGGGCUGGACCUCCACUACAUGAACAAAUGUUAACCAAACAGCAUCAAGUCCUAUCUACUGCAAUACGGAGUGAUCGACAUGCUGGCUUGGGAAACAAGCAUUGCUUCAUCAUUAAGUAAUGUACAACGGCUGUGUGAGUGUAGCAGUGAGUGAGUUUAUGGUGAGAGAAGUCAACAGCGAGCUGUGAGAAUGAGUGGAGAGCAAACACACAUGCAGUAUACUAACAUCACUUCAGACGUCAUCAGGACCAAACAUGAGAAAGUGAAAAACCCCUGUCUCACCAAAAUGUCAAAAGUAAAUGGUCCGAUAAAGACAAGUUACGCAUCAGUACAACAGUAUGGGAUCAGUAUGGGAUAUUUGAAUAAAGAAUUGGAGAACUACAGGCACAGCUGUAUGCAUUUUUACUGUAGAGUUCAUUGAGUUAAUCAUAUAUACCUUGUAAAAUUAAUAUUAGGGCAAUAUGACAAUACAUAACAUAAAAAACACAUUAACAUAUUUCUUUGCUUCUUGUCUAA